GACGAAGGGGGCUAGCGUUGUUCGGAAUUACUGGGCGUAAAGCGUGUGUAGGUGGCUGUCAUAGUCAGGUGUGAAAGCCUUGAGCUCAACUCAAGAAAUGCACUUGAUACUGGGCAGCUAGAGGACCGGAGAGGAUAGUGGAAUUCCCAGUGUAGUGGUGAAAUACGUAGAGAUUGGGAAGAACACCAGUGGCGAAGGCGGCUAUCUGGACGGUUUCUGACACUAAGACACGAAAGCUUGGGGAGCAAACAGG
rnacentral:rRNA from 1 species